rnacentral:lncRNA from 1 species
CAUCCUCUCGGGGUAGGUAAAGUGAGGACCCAAGAUUGUUGGGGGCAAUAAGCUGACUUUGUAAAAAUGCCGCUUAGUAAUAAGCAGGCGUAUACAAUGGAAUGAAGGCUAUUGCUGAACGCAUUGGGUUGCGCUCCAAAAAUUGUAAGCUGCCCUGAGUCUUUGGAGAAGGGCGGCAUAUAAAUGUAAUUAAGAAAAAAAACUUGGAUACUGUCCUCUUUGUAAAAAAAUUACCAGUCUACAUGGACAGAUUACCUAUCUAGAAUCUCUAAUCUGUGCUCUCCAAGCAGAAAUUAGGUGCCCAAUCCAGCCAUCUAUUGAGCUGCCGUGCUACCAGCCCCCACUACCACAAAGAUCCUAUAGGAAAAGGGCAGUAUGGACAACCGUGGGAUCUGGCAGGGUGAGAGCUGCGGACCAUAAAUGCAAAGCUUUUGCUGUGUCCCAGCAUAACAGAUACAGUGCCCUUGCUGACCUUAAUAGGGACAUUAAAGGGACAGGUCAAGGUAGUUGUGAUAAUGAUAACUCAAGUAAGCCAGGGAUCUUGGUCCUAGAAGAAGAACUUACUUUGGAAAGGGGAAAGUGUGAAUCAGGUAUUACGCACCAGUCACACAAGAAGAGCAAGGCAUCCAAAAAGAGAAGCCACCUUCUGGCUGGGGACACAAUUGUAAGGGAUGUAAAUUUAGGAAAGGAUACGGAGGUUUUGAAAGAGGUCAGGUGUCUACCAGGUGCUACUGCCAGCAGAGACAAGAAGCGCAUUCUUAAGAUAGUCAAGAAUGCCAGCAAGGACUGUGAUGUUGAUGCUAUUAUACAUCUUGGUACAAAGGAUCUGUCCCAGAAGGAUGUACUUGCUGUUCAGAAAGACUUCCAGAGCUUGGGGUAUGAACUUAGUAAUACGGGCUGUAGGCUUAUCUUUUCAGAGGUUCUACCAGUAUACAAGGAACAAAAAGGGAAAGGGCAGCGUGUAGCAGAGUUUAAUGUGUGGCUAAAGGAGUGGUGUAAAAGGGAAGGCUUUGGUUUUAUUAGUCAUGAUGUCUGCAGCUGGUCCAAUGAAAAGGUACAAAAGAGAUGGUUUGCAUCCAUCAAAGAAAGGGACUGAGUUACUUGGCAUUAAAUUCACAGAUUUCCUGGAUAAACAUUUAAACUGAACAGCGGGGACAGAGAAUUAAUGGAUUCAGAACAUUUCUG